rnacentral:rRNA from 1 species
UACAGAGGGUGCAAGCGUUGUUCGGAUUUACUGGGCGUAAAGGGCGCGUAGGCGGCAAUUCAAGUCAUCUGUGAAAUCUCCGGGCUUAACCCGGAACGGUCAGGUGAUACUGUUUUGCUAGAGUGCGGAAGGGGCAAUCGGAAUUCUCGGUGUAGCGGUGAAAUGCGUAGAUAUCGAGAGGAACACCAGAGGUGAAGACGGGUUGCUGGGCCGACACUGACGCUGACAGCGCGAAAGCCAGGGGAGCAAACAGG